GCAACGUACCGGGCGGCACGGCCUGCAGUGGACUCUUAAUCCGCGGGUUGUAGGUUCAAGUCCUACGCGGCGCAC
rnacentral:tRNA from 1 species